AAGAGGUGGUUUCCGUUUAAAAGUUGGAUUACAGUUUGUUCGGGUGAGGCAAUAUCAGAUGAUAGGGUGCGAUAGACCAACGUGCAAUUGACGGGGGGUUUAAUACCAGGGCGAUCUAUAUCCAAUAUCCAUCGGCAUCUACAGUGAUUGGAUUUGGAAGAACUAGCUAAUGGAGAAGAUGUGGCAAAGUGCCCAAGUUGUUCUCUCUUGAUUAAAGUAAUUUAUGACAUUGAUGAUUUUCUAGAAGGGGAAGAAGUUGCAGCUCCCGUUAAAGUGGAGUUGGAGAAGGCU